rnacentral:rRNA from 1 species
AUGGCAGCAGAUUACCUGAAACCUAAGGACCCAAACUUUAGUAGUGUGCACCCAAGGAUUCAAAAGGAUAGAAGGGCUUAUCCACAUCUUAAGGACUGCAUCAGCGCACUAGAUGGUACUCACGUCAGAACUACCAUUCCUGCUGGCGACCAAGUUAGAUACAUUGGAAGGUCAGGAUCAACAACACAGAAUGUUCUGGCAAUAUGUGAUUUUGACAUGCAUUUCAUGUACACUUCAGUUGGCCAACCUGGCUCUAUGCAUGAUACCAGUGUCUUGUAUCAUGCAAUUGAAGCUGACAAAGAUACCUUCCCUCAUCCUCCAAAGGGUAAGUACUAUCUUGUGGACGCGGGCUAUCCUAAUAGACCUGGAUAUCUCGCACCUUACAAGGGAGAAAGGUACCACGUGCCUGAUUUUCAACGAGGUGUGGCGCCAAGAACACCUAAGGAGAAAUUUAACAAGAUACACUCAUCCAAGCGUAAUGUGAUCGAGAGAGCAUUUGAUGUGUGGAAAAUGAAGUGGCAGAUUCUACUAAAGAUGCCCAAUUAUUCAGUUGAAACUCAAAAGAUGAUAGUGGCUGCCACUAUGACCCUUCACAACUACGUUCGAUAUCAUGAUACAGGUGAUCUUCACUUUCUUCGAGUCGACAGAGAUCCCAACUAUGUCCCAACUAUCCCUUCAAGGUAUCAACGGUAUGCCAUCCCUCCGAAUGCAUCAGAUGUGUCAACCUGGGAGGCUAGUGAUAAAGACAUGGACCUGUUCCGUAAUAGACUAGCAACUAAUAUUGCUCUUGGUUGGUGA